rnacentral:rRNA from 1 species
UACGUAGGGUGCAAGCGUUGUCCGGAAUUAUUGGGCGUAAAGGGCGCGUAGGCGGCCAGCACAAGUCAGUUGUGAAAUCUCCGGGCUUAACUCGGAAAGGUCAACUGAUACUGUGCGGCUAGAGUGCAGAAGGGGCAACUGGAAUUCUCGGUGUAGCGGUGAAAUGCGUAGAUAUCGAGAGGAACACCUGCGGCGAAGGCGGGUUGCUGGGCUGACACUGACGCUGAUGCGCGAAAGCCAGGGGAGCGAACGGG